GGAGGGUGCAAGCGUUAUCCGGAUUCACUGGGUUUAAAGGGUGCGUAGGAGGGCAGGUAAGUCAGUGGUGAAAUCUCCAAGCUUAACUUGGAAACUGCCGUUGAUACUAUCUGUCUUGAAUACCGUGGAGGUGAGCGGAAUAUGUCAUGUAGCGGUGAGAUGCUUAGAUAUGACAUAGAACACCAAUUGCGAAGGCAGCUCGCUACACGAAUAUUGACUCUGAGGCACGAAAGCGUGGGGAUCAAACAGGAUUAGAUACCCUGGUAGUCCACGCCCUAAACGAUGGAUACUCGACAUACGCGAUACACAGUGUGUGUCUGAGCGAAAGCAUUAAGUAUCCCACCUGGGAAGUACGACCGCAAGGUUG
rnacentral:rRNA from 1 species